rnacentral:lncRNA from 1 species
GCCUGUGGCUGUGCAGCCAACCUGCUCAGAAGGAGCUGGGUGGCCCACUGUGCGAACCCCGCCGGCUCCACAUGGCAGGUGAAAUGCACUGGUUUAGAACUUCUGAUGUCUUUCAAACCACUCUAGCCAGUAUAGCCCCAGUAUUUACCAUGACAAAAUUUGACAGAGAAAUGUUACUUCUUUUGAAAGGAAGAAAACUGAGUUAUACCAAGAGUUAGGUCUUCAAGCCAGAGAUUUGAGAUUUCACUAUGUAAUGAGUAUCACAGCCAGAAAUAAUAUGAUUAUCAUGAGAAUGGAGUAUUUGAAAGCUGAGAUAACUCCAGAGUGUCUUCUGAUAUUAGAUUAUCAUAAUUUAAACUCACAGCGAUGGCUGUUCCGGGAACUCUCUUCACAAUUGUCUGGAGAGGGUCAACUUGUUAGAAACCCUUUAAUUUUUUGAGUUUAGAGCUAUAGAAGCACUCCUGCAAUACUGGAUCAACACCCUUCAGGGGAAACUUAGCCUUUUCCAGCCACUGAUCCUCAAGACGCUGGAAGCUUUGGUGGACCCCAAACAUUCUUCUAUAGACAGAAGCAAACUCCACAUUUUACUACAGAAUGGCAAAAGUCUAUUAGAGUUAGAAACAGAUAUUAAAAUUUUCAGAGUCAAUUUUGGAGAUCCUGGAUGAGAAAGAGUUGCUAGAAGAGCUCUAUCAAAAUGGAGUGACCCCCGAGUCUUUGAAAAGAGCAGUACUGGGACUGACCAUGCAGAGGAGAUAGAGUUGCUGAUGGAAAACUACUACCGACUAGCUGACGAUGUCUCCAAUGCAGCUUAGGAGCUUACGGUACUGACUGAUGAUUCACAAAGUAUUAUUUUCAUCAAUCUGGACAGCCACUGUAACGUGAUAAUGAAGUUGAAUCUACAGCUGACCAUAAGAACCUUCUCUCUUUCGCUCUUUGGAGUAAUGGAAGUUGCUUUUGGAAUGAGUUUGGAAUCUUCCCUUGAAGAGGCCCAUGGAGUGUUUUGACUGAUUACAGGAAUUAUGUUCAUGGGAAGUGGCUCAGCUGGAGGCGCCUGCUUUCAUUCCUUGGACAACAGCUAGAAGCUCCAUUGCCUCCUAUGAUAGCCUCCUUACCUAAAAAGAUUCUUCUGGCAGAUAGAAGCGUGGAACAAAGAACAGUCUCAGACCUGAUGCACUUGGAUCAGGCAGGAGUAUCCUAACAA